UACGUAGGGCGCAAGCGUUGUCCGGAAUUAUUGGGCGUAAAGAGCUCGUAGGUGGCGUGUCGCGUCUGCCGUGAAAGCCCAUGGCUUAACUGUGGGUCUGCGGUGGAUACGGGCAGGCUAGAGGCUGGUAGGGGCAAGCGGAAUUCCUGGUGUAGCGGUGAAAUGCGCAGAUAUCAAGAGGAACACCUGCGGCGAAGGCGGGUUGCUGGGCCGACACUGACGCUGAGGCGCGAAAGCUAGGGGAGCGAACGGG
rnacentral:rRNA from 1 species